AUCCUGCAGAGAUGCGGGAGUGCCCGAAAGGGAAUCUGGACACAGGUGCUGCAUGGCUGUCGUCAGCUCGUGUCGUGAGAUGUUGGGUUAAGUCCCGCAACGAGCGCAACCCUUAUCAUUAGUUGCUACGCAAGGGCACUCUAAUGAGACUGCCGGUGACAAACCGGAGGAAGGUGGGGAUGACGUCAAGUCCUCAUGGCCCUUAUGAGCAGGGCUUCACACGUCAUACAAUGGUCGGUACAGAGGGUUGCCAACCCGCGAGGGGGAGCCAAUCCCACAAAGCCGAUCGUAGUCCGGAUUGCAGUCUGCAACUCGACUGCAUGAAGUCGGAAUCGCUAGUAAUCGCAGGUCAGCAUACUGCGGUGAAUACGUUCCCGGGCCUUGUACACACCGCCCGUCACACCAUGGGAGUGGGUUGCUCCAGAAGUGGUUAGCCUAACCUUCGGGGGGGCGAUCACCACGGAGUGAUUCAUGACUGGGGUGAAGUCGUAACAAGGUAACCGUA
rnacentral:rRNA from 1 species